rnacentral:rRNA from 1 species
AUACGAAGGGUGCAAGCGUUACUCGGAAUUACUGGGCGUAAAGCGUGCGUAGGUGGUUCGUUAAGUCUGAUGUGAAAGCCCCGGGCUCAACCUGGGAAUUGCAUUGGAUACUGGCGGGCUAGAGUACGGUAGAGGGUGGCGGAAUUCCUGGUGUAGCAGUGAAAUGCGUAGAGAUCAGGAGGAACAUCCGUGGCGAAGGCGGCCACCUGGACCAGUACUGACACUGAGGCACGAAAGCGUGGGGAGCAAACAGGAUUAGAUACCCUGGUAGUCCACGCCCUAAACGAUGCGAACUGGAUGUUGGGGGCAAUCAGGCCUUCAGUAUCGAAGCUAACGCGUUAAGUGCGCCGCCUGGGGAGUACGGUCGCAAGACUGAA